CAUAAAAAGGAUUAUGGUGUGUUCCUAUUUUAUCUAACUUCCUCAGCUGGUUUCCAAAUUCUAAUUAGAAUUAGGUAGAAAAGGAGAGAAAAUAACACGAAAAAGAACCUUUGUCGUCAUAAAAUUCCCAUCAGGUCAGGAGAGUUUAACAAAAACAAGUUGAUUCUGUUGUUCUUGUGUACUUUUAACUCAACUCGGUAUAUCGGUCAAAGGAGUUUUUUUUUUAUUAAUUAAAUAACACCGUAGUUAAAAUACUAGAAUUUAAAAAGGAAUAAAAUAUUUAAAAAAAAUCUAAAAACGAAUUGAAAAAAAAAGAAACAACGAAAAAACAGUGUCGACGUCGCGUGUUUUUUAAAAUACGGUUUUAGUGUUUUUAGUGAAACACGCAAUUUGGUGAAUUCAAUUUUCUUCGAUUUUGAUUUAGAG